rnacentral:rRNA from 1 species
AUUGAACGCUGGCGGCAGGCCUAACACAUGCCAGUCGAGCGAGCGGCGGACGGGUGCGUAAUGUAUGGGGACUGCCCGAUAGAGGGGGAUAACUACUGGCAACGGUAGCUAAUACCGCAUACUAUCGGAUAACCCAUAUGGGUUUAGCUAGUAGGUGAGGUAAGGGCUCACCUAGGCGACGAUCCCUAGCUGGUCUGCGAGGAUGAUCAGCCACACUGGGACUGUGACACGGCCCAGACUCCUACGGAGGCAGCAGUGGGGAAUAUUGCACAAUGGGCGCAAGCCGGAUUCAGCCAUGCCGCGUGUAUGAAGAAGGCCCUAGGGUUGUAAAGUACUUUCAGUCGGGAGGCGUUACCGACAGAAGAAGCACCGGCUAACUCCGUGCCAGCAGCCGCGGUAAUAC